AUACGUAGGUGGCGAGCGUUGUCCGGAAUUACUGGGUGUAAAGGGAGCGUAGGCGGUUUGGUAAGUUGAGUGUGAAAUCUACCGGCUUAACUGGUAGGCUGCGCUCAAAACUACCAAACUUGAGUGAAGUAGAGGCAGGCGGAAUUCCCGGUGUAGCGGUGGAAUGCGUAGAUAUCGGGAAGAACACCAGUGGCGAAGGCGGCCUGCUGGGCUUUUACUGACGCUGAAGCACGAAAGCGUGGGGAGC
rnacentral:rRNA from 1 species